rnacentral:tRNA from 1 species
UAUAAGUAAGUGUAUAGGCAUAACAAAUUUUGAUUUUGUUGGGUAUAGUGUAAUUCUAUUAUUUAUAA